AACACCUGGUGUCCUCAGAGGUCAGAACAGGGAGUCAGAUCCCCUGAACUGGAGUUAUAGAAAGGAGACUAUGGGGCAUGGGGUGGAAGUCAUGUCAGGAAGACUACAGAGAAGACAGGAGAAAAAUCAACAAGACAUCUUACAUGGGAAAUGCCACCACAAAACCAAAUACUAUAUAUAAUAAUUUAGAUUUUUUGAGAGAGAAAAAAAGGGAAAUAUUAAUUUAUGCUAAGUCUACACAUUUGGGGCUGGAAUGUUGUCUGUUGGUAUAUAAUGGCCACAUGUCCGAGUAACCACAAUACAGGAUAACUGCUGAAACAUGGGACACAGGGGUCAUGAGAAGAACUAGAUAAUCUGGGCAGACUCCUCGGAGGAGACACUGUUUCAGUCGGGUGUCGAUGGACAAAUAGAAAUCUGUGGGGUAAAGGAUUGUCAAAGCAGCUUGUCUAGAGAGAAGGAGGAAGAGGGCGUGUCCAGGGUACGGGCAGUUUUAGUUCAGUGGAUGAGGCCAAGACAUUGUGGGACAGAGUCUUACAAACGGAAGCAAGGACUACAAAGUGGAUCCAAAUCAGGGAAUGCCUUGGUGCCAUGCAAGGAGCUUGGACUUAGUUUAUAAAUUGCUUAAUCUGAUUUGUCAUCCAAGAAGGUACUUGGCAAUCCUUGAAUUUGGGAGGCGGAGGUCAAAGGAUUGCAUGGAGUGUGAGGCCAGCUUGAGUUAUACUCUGAGACUCUAUACCAACAAAUCCCGCCCCCCCCAAAAACACCCUGAAAUGUUUGUAUCCAGCAUCACAUAGCUAUAAUACUAGCACUUGAGAAGCAGAGGCAGGAGGACCUCUGUGAGUUUGGGGCCAGACUGGGCAUCAUGGUCUAGAAAGGGGAAUUCUGAGGGGUACCCGGAUAUGCUCUGGACAUUUUCACACCCCCUGAAUCAGCCGCAAAUAAAUACCAGAUAGAAAUGUGUGGGCUUGAGGCGCUCCUCAGAUUCCACAGAAAAUAAAAGAAACACGAUUUUGAGGACGGGGAUGGGCUCAGGGAGUUGAGUCAGUUUCUGCUUGGUGGCUCCUCCCACCUUAUGUGUUCAGGCUGCUGGGAGCAGGGGGUGGGAGACAGGUCUCUGAGGGCAGGCCUCUCCUUGCCUAUCCUUUGGAAGGGAACUCUGUGGACAGGGUUUUGUCACCUUACACCAAAAGUCCCUAGAGUCAGGACUUAUGCCUCCAAUCUUGUUGACUGAUCAGUGCGGUCUUCAAGGAGCCAACUGGGGAUCCCUCUCAAAGUAGGGUUCAUAGGGCUGGAGAGAUGGUUCAGCAGAGAACACUACAGAGGACCCAAGGUUGCUCCUACACACACAGACACACACACACAGACACAGACACACACACACACACACACACACACACACACACACACACACACACACACAUACCUUGCACAAUUUAAAAACAAACUGAUGUCCAUGGAUGCAUGGAUAUUUUUAAUGUGUACUGGUGUUUUACAUAUAUGUAUGUACAAAUAUAUGUAUGCAUGUGCACCAUAUGUGUGUGAAGCCCACAGAGACCAGAGGAGGAUGUUGAAUCCCUAGGGACUGGAUUCUAGAUGGUUGGAAGCCCAGGGUCCUCUGGAAGAGCAGCCAGUGCUCUUAACCACUGAGCCAUGUCUCCAGCCUCUUGGAUUGUGUAUUUUAACCCCACACUGAGGAGAUGCCGGUGGAGGAUAGGGUCUAGCUUACUCUGAGACCUAGAAAAUUUUGCUUUCUUUUUCUGAAUGGUGCUGGAUAGAUCCACGCUAAGCAAGUGCUCUGUCGUGAGUCACAUUUCCAGCCUCCAGCUGUGACUGACACUCCACUCUGGAAGCCUGGUAUCGCAGUGCCAGGCUGUCCACUGGGAGGGAAGAGUUUCUGAGAAGACACCAUUCUUUAGUUCCAGCCAAAGUUGCCUGGACGUCAACAGGGACCCUGGCUGUCUACCCAGGUUGUCAGUCCCUGCUGCUCUGCCCUUCCACGUCAGGGAUCUGGCUUUUGAGGACAGAAAUCUUCAGUGAUCCGGCCUACGCUUCCAGGCUCCUCACAAGACAAGACUUCCGUAAGCUACUCUGCAAUGAACAGGAUUCUUCAAGGUGCUCAGAUCCAGCAGAGCCCUUAAGAACCUGGCAUCUCACCCUAAAAUCCAUUUGCUUAAUAAGGCCCAUCUCCUGACAACUGUGCUUUCUAAGUUAACCGAGGAGCACUGGACAUGAGGCAUCACACACAGCUCCAGCCUCUUCAGGAGGAGUUAGCACCACAGACUUGAAUCUCUCACCGGGAUGCCGGCCACACCCUCCUCACCUGGUAUCUGUCUGAGUGGUGCAGGUCCUCCGUGGCAGAAGAGUGUGGGGAAGCCGUUGGAGAGUCUCCUUCCCUCUUGAUGGAAGCAGACAACAGGAGGGACUGGAAGAAGAAAAGAACACAUGGCCCCAGACCAGCUUGCACAGCCCUGAGCCGGAAGCACACAAUUCUCUCGAAGUCCUCCCAAGCCUGGAAAACCAUGCCAAAUCGCCAGUGACAGCCCAAAGAAAGCAAUUUGGGGAAGAUGGAGCGGUCAUUUAUCCUUCAUCUCUGACUGACCCUUAGGAUGUGACCCGCAUGCGGUGGCCACGCUGUUCAUCCUCCGGCAAGGACCCUAGGAAGCGAGGGGUCUGGUUCCCCAGCUGCUGAUGUGCCAGGGUGUCCUGAUGCACCCGUGGCCCAGGAGCUGGAGGAGAGAAGCGGCCGCAGAGGGCCUGGGGUGGGAUUGGCUCCAAAUGGGACUUCUUCACCGACCGAAGCCCCACGGGAGGCCUGCCAGAAAGAUGUCAGGCAAUGUUCUUCUCCAAUCCCAAGGAAGAUGUUGAGGAAAGAGAACAGCGUGCCACAGAGUGUGGGCCCCCAGACAGUAACAAAGCUUUCCUCUGUCUUUCUCUGUCUCUCUCUCUCUAGGUUAGAAGCCCUGAGAGGCCCCAGCAUUACACCUGGGGCAAGCGGAAUAAAAAAAGGUCACUGGCGCUUUUUAAACAUGGACCAAAAAGCAGUAAAAUGUGUUUUGAAAAAAAAAAAUCCUGGCAUUAAAUCAUGACUUUUUGCCUGGCUCUUCGCCUCAUUAAAAGUGGCCUUUUGGAAGGUAAAAUUAUCAUUGUAAGCGAUAAGAUCUUUAAGAAAAUAAUUCACGGCUUCUUCACCCUUUAAUAUGAUAGCCGCCACCGGCUAAUUUUUUUCUUAAUGGCAACGAGGCCAUCAAUCUUGUCUAAGGGCCCCUCGCCCUCUCCUCCUUCUCCUCCCUCCCUCCUCCCUGCCUGUCCUCUUAGUCUCUCGAUUCCAUUCAACCUUCUGCUUCCUACCUCUUUCUCACAUGACCUGCUUCCCUAGAGCUGAGGUCAAGGCCAAGGGGAAGGCAGAGAUUGUUCAGCUUUGGGGCGUGUGUCUGGAAGUAGGUGAGCAACGGUCCUUUUUUCUGCAUCUAGUGAUCGGUAUGCCAGUGAGAGAGGAUGCAGGAAAGUGUCCGUGCUUAAGACUUAAGAAGGAUAUACUUUCUGACCUAUGGGGUCAUGUCUGUGAGAGGCAGGUAUGGAUGAGGAGCAUCCCUGCCAGGGUUGGUCCUUAGAACACAAGCCCUUCUGGUCUCCAGUGUCUCAGCCGGCCACUCCUACUCAGGUAGAGGUCGCACUGGAAGCUUGGUCGUAACCUUCAUUAUUUCACUAUUCAACACUGUAGUCUGGGCCAAGCAAGGCCUGGGUGGCUGCCGGCCUCUUCCAGUCCACAGCUGCCUGGUUCCCCAUCCCCUUCUCUUCCAGGCCAGGCUGGGUUCUCUGUCCCUCCUGUAGAAGUUAGCUGUGACUUUGUGAGUUUUGAAUGAGUGUGAAGAGUUUGCCUUCUCCCCCUUUAAAGGCCCAAGGGAUGGUUGGCCAAAGUCACGGAGGUGACACUUGUCACUGGCUUCUUUUCCCAAAAUUACCCUCUCAAAGGUCACUGGUCACUUUGGGCCUUUCAAAUCUAUGGGCCCCCUUCACAGCCCGUUUCCUACUGGACUACUGGUGGGUCAGACAUUUUGAAACUGUUUUUCCUCAGGGAACUGGAUGCUCUCCUGUGACCCCCCCCCCCCAACUCCCUUACUUUAUCUUGCUCAAAAGUACAGGAGUCCCUGAGGGGUUCUUAGUAUUUGUUCUCAUUGUCCCCACAUGGCCGCUCACUGACUAACUCUGUUCCCCAAGGUUGAACACCUGCUUCUCAGUCAGCAGGACACACACCAGGGAGUAGUGUGAGGGCUUCAGAGAAAGGGAGCAGUAUCAUGCAGAGGGAGGAAGCCUCUUCCUCUCUCAUCUGCUGCUGGUGGGAAGACAUGUCUGUCAUGGGCUAAGAGGAGAUACUUGUUCUUCUCCAUCUGAUCCACUCAAGUCUCCUUCACAGAUGGAUCCAACAUCAUUUUCUCUGGCUCUUUAUAAAGUGUGUGUGUGUGUGUGUGUGUGUGUGUGUGUGUGUGUAUGUUUACGCUCGCAAGUGCAUGAGAGGAAGAGAGAGAGAGAGAGAGAGAGAGAGAGAGAGAGAGAGAGAGAGAGAACGAGACAGAGCUGGCUUCUGUCUGUACUGAGUUCCCAUACUUUCUUUCACUGUUUACAGCCCACCUUCUUCCUUUGAAUCUCCCCAGAUUGAGUAUCUGUGUUGCCCACACCUCGGGGCCACUUCUGACUCUCACCCCUCUCCUAGCUAGAAGAAGAGAAAGUCAGAAAAUCCUUUCCACAGAUGGAUGCUGCACCCCAACACACCAAGCAUUCCCAGGUAUUAGGCUGACAUUGGAACACAGGCCACAGGUGGCAGUGGGAUCCAAGGGGAGUGCCUUUUUCUCAGGACGAGCCACAUCUUGGUAAGCCUAGGUUGGAAUGGGCAAGAGGGAAACCAUAACUGGCCACCUACCUUGGGGGUGCCCGGAGCCAUGGCAUCCUUCAGAAGGGAAUUUUUGCUGCCAAGAAAGAAAGAGAACAGGGUGACCCAACAUCAUCUUCUCAAGAUUAGCAAGCUAAGCCCAAGAGAAGGCAUGUGCAAGCAUGGCACAGUCUAGCCAGCUCAGUCUAGUUCCAUCCAGUACACACAACCCAGUGGCCUAGGACCUAAAUCAGCUUCUACCAGGUGCCAAGGUCCAUGCUGACCCCUGGGAGGGGACACAGGCGCCAGACCGAGUAUGGGAAGAAAGGGGCUUUACCUAGAAUCAGCCCUGAAGAUUCUUCUCUGUCCUGGGGCUCCCUCCUCAGCACUCCCUGUUCUUAGCCUGCUCUUAGUUCCUACGGGAUUGGGGUGAUGGGGCUGACAUGACUCUUGUCAAUUCUUCCUCCAACACGCUGCAAACUGUGUUAGGCUAGGAACGAUCUCCCCCUGAUUCGAUUUGUCAGCCCCAGGCCCUCCGGCAUCGGGUGGCAGGAGGGAGCUGGGCCCUGAAAUAUGGUGGGCAGUUCAGAGCAGGCGGGGGCUGGGGUGGGAGGUGAUGGAUGGGUUGUGGGGGAGGCAAGGACUGUGUUUAAUAACAAAAUUGGUAUGCAAGGCCACAUCCCACGCUAAGCAUGAGUGACCCAGAGCCACAGAGUAUUACAAAUCCCGCUAAACAGAUGCUGACAAUGGAACAAGACGUAUCAAAUCAGAUCCACUUCAGAAACAUUAAUAUCCCUGUUCCUGCCCCUUCCUGCCCGCUGCCUCCACUAUAACUGCUGCAUCUGUGCUCACACACGAGCACGUGUGCAUCCACGGGCGCACAUGCAUGCACACAAAUACAUGCAUACAGAAGGGUUGUUGAUGCGUACACAGAGGCAGACAUAGCCCAUUUUCAUAGGCACUCCACACAGACACACAUACAAAGCACACAUGUAGACUACAUCCACAGACGCAUAGCCAGAAAGCACGAAAGGACACAGAUACACUGAAAAUAGAAUACACGGGGCAGAUAUGGACUUAGUGAGUAUAUGCAUAAGGAAUAUCUGCAUAUGUGCUCAGGCACCCAUUAGGCCAGACAGAAACGCAUGAUGUGCAAGCAAAAUUAAAUGAAAACAUGGCUAAAGUAGUGACUGUCAGUGGAAUAAGGGAUGUGUGCACUCCUGGGGACAUUUGGCAAUGUCUGAAUUACAUAUACAUAUACGUACGUAUGUCCAUAUAUACAUAUGCACCUAAUAUAUGCUAGACAAAUGUUUCACGACUAAACUACAUUCUAAGCCCCUAGAGAUAGUAUUGAUUGAUUUCUGAUUGUUCGAACUGGGUGUGGAACGGGGGUUGCUACUGGCAUCUAGUGGGUGGAUGGUGUUUAACAACUUAGACUAUCCCAGACAGCCCCCCUCACAGAGAAUUAUUGGACCUAAAAUGUCAAUAGUGCGGAGGUUGAGAAGCCCUGGUCUCAAGGCACAUACACAGACUAUCAUUCUACCAACAGGCACAUAGAUGUGGGCAGUCACACCCAGAGACUCAGACAUGCAUACAGAUGCACAGGGCCACAGGGUCACUUCCAGAGACAUGGUCAUAAAGACAAAUCCACAACAGCCGUGCAGACUGGAUGAAGAACCGUUCACGUACAAAAGUCCACGUGAACACAUGCAGAGAUAGACACCUCUAAAGCACUGCCACACCCAGACACAUGCACACCUACAGAUGUAGGCACUUAAAGGAUCCCAUGCACAUGGCAGGGCAAAAGCCACCAGCCUGCGCAGCACAAUCAGAAUAGAGUCACCAGUCUGUCCAUGCAGCAGGAACAACACCGACUACAAAGGACUGGCAGUCAAGCUUCUCUCAGUUCCAGUGUUCACUAAUGGUCUAUGCCUGGCUCUGAUAUAGGCACCGGGCAUACAGAGGGGGAAGCUGAGGUUUGUUAGUCAUAACUUUGAUCAUUUCUUAAUUUCUUUAUUCAUUCAGUGAAUACACGUGAGCAUCACCAUCCUGCUUACAAAGUGAGCUGUCUGCUAUCCACCACGCUGUCGCCAUACUUGACCCUGGCUGGGAUUUUGCUCUUAUCUUAAGGUGAGAUCAGAAACUGAAGAAAUGAAGAACUUAUUGUGUACCCACUGUAUACUACAGAGACAGAGAGGCCUUGUGAAUGUAAUUUCACCCUAAACUUGACCAAGUUGACAGACAAGACCAAGUGACACCUUUGUGGUCACACAAUCCAUAGAGGGUUUGGAACUCCAGGGUUGUUUGUUUGUUUUGUUUUUUGAAUGCUCCCUCUCUAAAGUUAUGUAGGCUCUAAUGCAUGCAGAACUUUGAUGUGCAACUUUGGGCAGGGUCUUGCCCAUCCUGGGCUCAUCUCCUUUGCUGGUAAGUAGAAUGGGGUCAUUUGGGGUCAGGAUGUCCAGCCUGUGCUCUGGCAAGCGCAUCUUCUGUUCUUAGCAAAGCUAUUCCCCUUGCUUACACAGGGCCAGCUCAGCCUCAGCCUCCUGCCCUGGCUCUGAGCAAUAUCCUCUCCUUCCCUUUCUUCUAUGAACCCCUUUCACAGCAAGUUUUCUUGGCUUUCCGGAGCCUGGAGCCCGGGAGCCUGAUGCGUGGCUUGCCUUGGAGGAGAGAGGUCUAGGUCCUGAGCUGUAAGCAGCCCAGCUACCGCCCAGCCCAGCCCAUCAGCUCUGCCUUCCCACCCCUCCCUGUUUCCACAGCCCGCCCCCAACAAUUUCCUUCCCUGUUCAGUCACUCCCUGCCUAGUGAUCCAUGGGUUUUAAAUUAUAACUGGGACCCAGGAAACGCGUUCCUAAGUACAAUAUUCAUGGGCUGGGCUGACACUUUUAAUUAAGGUGAUUUACACUGAAUUAUCCUUGGAAAUAAAGAAAUGGUGCACUGCCCGGGAAUAAACCAUCAUCACCAGCCGCCUUUGUAAGUUACACUUCGUUUUAAUCUAUUUGGGGAAUUGUUUAUCUAGUUCAUUACCCAACCAAACACCGAGGCCGGCCUUAAAUAAGGCUUAAGUAGGGGUGGGGGCACUGCCAUCUCUACACCCCGCCUCUCCUUAGGAGCUACCCAGUCUCCCUUUAGAUGUUUUUCCAGCCCCUUUAAAGCACCUCCCAGAGGAGGCUGUUUCCCGGCCCAGGGGCCAGCUUUCAUAGGGGAGAUGUCUGAGCUCAGGUCCUACCAGCUAAGCCUGUGAGUGUUCCAUGCCCAGGGCUGUUUCUUCCUCUCUGAGACCACAGAGAGGUCUCAGAGCCCUGCCAUCCUGAGCCCCCAUUUAUGUCCGUGUCUGUCUCUCUAUACACACACAUCUAGCCCCUAGCUGGAAGCCAUCCAGAGGUGCCUCAGCUCACCCAGAGCCCUACCUGUUGCUUCCUCUCUGACUGUGGACAUUACCUCUAACACACUCCCAACCAUUCAAAUCCCAGUUCUCUCCUAGUAAGCACCCUAGGUAAGUCCUUUGGCUUCUCCUUCGUCUUAAUCCACUCUUCUGCAUCCCCCACUUUCAGUGGCUGUCCUUGCAUGGGAGGAAGGCCCUUCUGACUCUGUGUUUGACUCAGAGUUAUGCUUUGUUCUGAGUAGCCAAGCCCUUGGAUUUAAGGAGCCCUUGUUCAGUAAGGUUCUAGGAGGGGAGAGACAGACUCAGGUGAGGUGUAGGAGGGCUGUGGCAGGAACUUGGGAAAGGAUCCCGUUGAGCUGCUGAGAACUCUGCUUUUCCUGUGGGCAUGUGGCUGCUCUUGGUACCUGGGAAUGUUCACCUCUGGGAAGGUGGCUUCUUUCAGGGUGUGUGUGUGUGUGUGUGUGUGUGUACACUGAGCUGUGUGGGAAUGGAGUGUUUGUGCACUGUAUACAUGUGUGUCAAGCCUGUGUUUGUGAAAACCCAGCCUCCUUUGCGUAGGAGCUGUAAGGUCCUUGCUUCUUUUGUGAGCCCCCAGGUGUACAGCAAUAGCACACACAGGACCCGCCUAGGUUGUUGGGCAGUUAGAGGCAGAAGGUUGAAGAACUCCAUCUAGAAAGUUCCAGAAGUAGAACCACCUGGGAGGCUAGCCUGGCAGCAGCACCCAAGGGCUCAGGGCGAGCGAGGCUGAGGAGCGGACAAGAGAGGGAGGGCAAAAGAGGCAAGGGCAGGGUGAUAAGGGGUAUUGGGGCAGGUUGAGAGACGAGGGGAGGAGCCAGCACAGAAAACAAAGGGAGAGGAGCCAGGAAUUCGGCCUGGAGGAAGCAGAGGGCUGGAGAGCUGGGGAGGAGGGGACUUGGUCACAGGUCACCAAUCCAGGAGGCUCACUUUCGGGCUCUUGCCUGGGUGGUGAAGGGGCGACCUCAGUUUCCUCAUCGGUGAACUCGUCCUUCUGUUCAGGAUACUGAUGGUGGGAAGAAGGAAUGUGGGUGGGGUGGAUGGAGCGCAGGAGCUCAGGUGCUUCCGUCUUUCCCCAACCUUCUUUGCCCAUCCUCGGGCUCAUCCCAGAGCCAGCACCGGGCGGGGCAAGGGCAACCAGGCUGGGGACCCUCGCUCACGCUGCCCGUCAGCCCGGAGGGAGCUGACACGCUCCUUGGGAAUUUAUCACGCACCCAAUUACAAUGUUAAUUGGCAAGUUCCUGAAAUCAAUUAAUUCGCAAAUUUUUUCCAAUUAAAAAUCCAGAUAAAUCACAGGGGCGGCGGCGGGGCCGGUCCAGCCCGCAGUCCGGUGGCCGCAGUGGCCGCGGGGAGGGGGCGCGCGUGGGGAGGGGGCGGCGGGUGCGGCUGCCCUUGAACGCCUUUGCCGGCCGGUCCGACUGUCAGCGCGCCGGGCGCGGCGGGGCCGAGACAGAUAAAACCAUCGACCCGUCGCCGCCAGCGCUUCGGCUUUAUCGAUCCGACGGGAAUUUCACUUGCUGUGCAGAUCCCGCUGUCCGGCUGUCAGACACCCGGUGGGGAGGAGGGCGUGCCAGGGGCGCAGGGCGUGCACGUGCUGAGGGCGGCGUGGGCAUUAGGGGGUGCAGGAAUAGGCCCGGACGUGAGCCCACAGCCGCGAGGUGUGGGUGCUCUGAGAAACGUGGAUGAUGAGGGAUUUAUGCAGGGUCACGAGCAGGGAUAGAACGGAAAAGGCGAGGGAGAUGGCCUGGGUGGUGCGGGCUGGGGCGGGGGUCCUUGCCCAGGAGGCAAAAAGAACAUUUCAGCGGGGCAGGCACAGUGCCCAAAUGCGCUCCGCAAGUCCCUGCGUUUUCUGUUCUUGGUUGAGGUUCUCUUCAUUGGAAGCAAAUUACCCAGAAAUCCUGGUACAGCCUGCAAGCUGUUUCUUUCACUUUCUGCCCCUGACAGGUCAAUCCCCCACGGUGUGUAAGUGAUGGGGGAGGGGAGGCGAAGAGCAGAGCGCUGGUGUCAAAACUGCUAGAGACAAACCUUAUGUUUAUUGCCAAGUGGGCAACCUUAGAGAAGUCACUUAACGUGGCUGUGCCUCGGUUUCCUCAUCUAUAAAAUGGGAGUUAUAGCUAUAGUCACACAUCACAAUUAGCAACGGGCUGGCUACAUAUCUGAAAGUUGUCCCGUGAGGUUACAUUGCCUAGUGGCAGUGUAGUUUAAGUACACUCUAUGGUACUCACAUGAUCAAAAAAUGUCUAAGGAUGCAUUUCUUAGCACAUACAUCCAUCAUUAAGCAGUGCAUGACCAUCACAUAGCUAUGUGAAGAAUAGCUCUUGUGAGAUAGUGAAUUUCCAUGCAGUUCAUUAUUAUUACCAUACUAUAGCUUCUGUGGGGCUUUUAAAGUGUGCCCACAGGUUCUUUGGAUACUCUUGUCUUUAAGAAUGAGAGCUUUUAGAGCAUAAUUCUCCUCCCUUGAGUAUGGGCUGGGCUGGAUUGGAAAGAUGGGUCAGCUAA